GCCUGGGUGGCUCAGUCAGUUAAGCAUCUGACUUCGGCUCAGGUCAUGAUCUCGCGGUCCGUGAGUUCGAGCCCCACGUCAGGCU
rnacentral:tRNA from 1 species